AGUAUCGUCGCUGUCAAUUUGCAUGACAGUAUCGGCCCUGCUUUCCUUUUUUUUUUCGUCAUCCCUCUCCUUUCUCGUGCAUAAUUUCCUGCGUGGGUGCGCUUGCGCGGCUCAUCUGUCGGCUGCUCGCCUCCCCUCCCUCCCCGCCUCCCCCCGACCCUGCAGUCGGUGCUGAUGGGCGUUUCCGUUCCUUAAUCCCUUACCUGUUUCUUAUUCCUCGUGCAAGGCAGGUGAUUGGAUGUUCGGCUGCUUGUCUGCCUUGAAGCGAUUCUGCCAUUCUUGCGGGUCGAGGGCACCACCAUCGACAGCCUCAUCUCCAGCGGUUACAUCCUUUUUCGUUCCGUGCGCGUGUGUGUCUGUGAGCCGCCCUCCCUCCCUCCCUCUGUCUCUCACACAACACAUACACACAACACACACACACACACACACACACAGACAUAUACCGUAGGCUCGAGCUCGAGAAGGCGGGCACGGCUGCAUCUGUGUGUAUACACAACGCUACGCAGAAGAUAUCAAGCGCACCGUCACGCCUACUCCAGCACCGCGACAUCGCUGGCAGCUGCCACGCCCUCGACCUUCCCGUCUCGCCCCCCCCCCCCACUCCUUCCUCCCUCACGCAUACAUACGAAAUCGCAUCGUGCUCCACGAAAGGUGAGUGCAGGGGAGCAUCCUGCGGGGAGUUUCAGUGAUCCGCAGAAGCAGGCUAAGUCCGCUUGCGCGCGCGUGCGCUCCGUGAACAAGCGAAUUGCCGGCAACGUGGGAUCUGCUGGAAUACGCAACGAAAGACGCAAGGAGGGGCCCGGGUCGCGGACCCGCUGCCUCCCUCCUUUCGCGGAGCCAUCGCGGCUCUCUUUCUUCAUCUUUCCCUCCUUCUUCCCCUUCAGCGCUCUUAUUGUUCCUUGAGAAGGCCUCGGCGCUGGGCCAUGUCAAGUGGUCCGCUGAGGAUGCCGACACCCUCGGCGCCGUCUACGCCGCCGCCACCUACCGCCACCCAACAUCACCACACCUCAUCGUGGAGGAGCUGGGGAACGAAGGGGACCGGCCAAAGGGUCGCCGAGGGCGGUGGCAGCACCACCACCGGCUCACCAAAUUCUUCGGCGGCACCGCCGAGCGUGUCGGUGACAGUUGUGGUGCUGGCUGCGCUGACAGCUGCCACGGUCUCGGUAGCGUACAACUCCUAUAAGGUGCGGAGCCGCAGCAGCCGCGUGUACCGUAGUCAGUCUACGACUCCUGAACACCCGUGCACGAGGCACGGAGAGGCCUCAGAUCCUUCGCACACGGGCGACAUCGCGAUGGACAGCGUCAAGACUGCUUCACCCUUGUCGCCCAGCACCGCAAGGAGUGACGCGACAACUUGUUGUCGCAGCACCUCACUUGGCGGUUGCGGCUCCACAGCAGCGCACACCGUCGCUGGUGAGAACCCGUCGUCGACCGCGGCAUCAGAGAAUGAGCUCGACGAGGGGGGUCAGCGCGAGCGGGACGUGAUGGCGCAAUCGCCUUCGUUGGCGCUCCACACAGAUACCGCCGCGGACGCUGGUGCGCGUUCCGGCAACCGCGACAUGCGAUUUGCCCUGUGUAGUGCGCCGCCCUUGCAGAUGGCGCACGACAGUACGGCUGAGUUUCAUGAUCGGUGCGCCACACCAGCCGCUUCUGCCGCCCCAUCGCCGCCGCCACCAGAAACGCCCAAGGCGCUCCUUAGCAACUACUACGACUUGGAGCCGUACGCGCUUCAGGGUCUUGCCGGCGGCGCCCACGGGUGGAAGCGCGUGUUUGGGCUGCUGAAGCCCGAGAUGCGCAGGCGCAGCGGGAGAGAUGAGGCGUGCGCUGAGGAUGGAGGUACAGCCGCUGAUGGCAUACCUGGCCGCCGCGCGCCGGGUUCACUGACGCGCACGUACGAUGGCUCCCGCGUUACCACCACCGACAGCCCUGCGCUGCUGCGGGAGAGCCCCGGCGCGAUUGUGCCGGUCACCCCAGCCGCCGCGACGAGGUCACCGACGCGGCGCGCGUCUGCUGUAGAGAGCAUGUAUCGCAGCAGCGUCGUAAAAAGCGACGUCUCGGUGCACAGCCGUGUGCCGGGGCAGCCGGUGGCGACGGGGAAGCCGUGCACGGCGCGGUGGUACGGCGACGACCACAAACUCUUUUCCGUGGCCGCAGCCUCCUCCACGUCAGCGAGCACGCUCGCGCAGCCGUUGCAUCCGCCACGGCUCUCCGUCUCGCCGGUUGCCGGGGUGCCGUCGCCGCCAAGUCGCUUCCUUAACUCCUUCUUUUUCCCUGUGCUACAGCACCUCAGCUUCUGCGUGAGCCGAAGUGUAGGCAGCGGCCCCGGGGAAAGCACCACCACUGGUGAGGCGACCUCCGGGACGGCCGGGAGCGGCGUGCACACGGCGUCUACCACCAACACUUUCGCUACUUCAGCAGCGUUGGCGGUGGCGCAGCGUAAUCUGCAGCGAGACAUCUCUACCUUGGUGGCCACGACAGCGUCAGUUCGGCUGGGGGCCUCCGCCUCUUCGUCCUUUCCGGGUUCCCAUGCUCACACAGCGCGCUGCUCCGCCGUGUCGUCGGUGGCUGUAUCUCCGCGGGCCGGCGCCACAGGGUCGUGCAGAUCGCAACAGCAGCACGAGGGGGUGACAGCAGCAGAGUCCUGCUCGUCGUUCGCCGCACUGCACGCAGGGCGCAGCUCCAGCGGCGGGCAGCGGAGAAAAGGUGUGUCUGUGGAGGGCGAGGAGGGGGCGGCGCAGCACGUCUUGGGGUCUCAUGCGCGCUUCCUGUCGGCGGAGGAUAAGCAGCAGCCGGGUAUGCGCGGCAGCCCUCGCCAUCAGAGCUCAGGUGCCUGCCGUCAAACGCCCGCCAGCUCGCAGAAAAGCGACCGCAGUGCCACGUGGAGCGGUGCGGGUCCGUGCAAACAGAGUAUACGGGAGUCUGCGCAGGAGCGAAGGAUGCCGCCGCACCCCUCACCCCGUGCCGCAGCAACAGCCGCUGGGGCCACGGCCGACAGUGGCGCAGUCCCGGCGCCACCAGAGGCGUCGUCCACGGAGGAACCGAACGCUGCAGGCACCGAGUCGGUUGGCGAGCCUGCUUCUCCCCCGACCAUGGCUCACUGCUGCACCAUCGCCGAACAGCUGGCCGUGUUGACGAGUCGUCGAGAGCAGCAACAUCGCUACACACAGCAGCUACAGGCAAGCAGGAGGUCGGCUGGGCUCGGCGCCGGCGCCGAGAAUGCGCUGCCGUCUCCUCUGGCCACCCCAUCGUCACCUGCCUACACGGGCGCUGCUGCGGCGUCGACGACCUUAGAUGUCUCCAAUGCAGAGCUCAGCAAGAAAGCCAGCGGUAUGCGCAGCCCAUUCGCCUGGGCUUCGCAGUACUACACGGACACGGCGUCAGGGGUAUUCUACUCCUCCGUGCUGCAGCCGCACCACUACGAGAACCACGUCUACUCCGACGUCACGACUGAGGUGCAGCAGUGCAGGCGAAGGCGUCAGCGGGACCGUGUGACGAGUCUUGGCGCGGGCGUCACCCCUGCCUCGAGGGCGGGCGCAGAGGACGAGGAUGUGGGGCACGAGACGCACACGGCCACGCCGAUGGCGACAGGAGCAGGAGCAGCAACAGCUGCGUCUACAAGACGCUCUAUGGAGCGGCCGGCAGCCGAGUCGAGUCUCACGGCUGGCUUACAGCCAGCCGCAGCUCGCAAGGCCUCUGCAUCGGCAGGUACCGCCAUCCUGACAUCCGGCGUGGGCAGUGUAGCCCCGCUGAGCCAUUCAAAGCCGACGCAGCCCUCGAACGAGCGCCGCGUUGACGACUUGACCGUGAAGCACCAGGAUGAUGGCUCGGCUUCGUACACCAUCUCCCUCACUUACCACGACAGCGAAACCGGCACCUCGCGCACGGUGAACACGAGUGCGCUGCCGCCGCUGCGCCGCUGUGACGCCGGCGCGUCAAUCCCGGGCCUCUCGUCUCUCUCCGGCGGCACAACCGUGCGUGCUGCCGCCCGCACGAAACGCCCAACCACGACGGCGACGCUAGCCUUGAGUGCCUCUGGUGCCGCGUCACCGGCGCACUCGCGCAGCGUCAGUGGUGGUGAGGCCGCUCACGCAUUCGCCGUAAGCUCGCCGCCUGCGCGUCCCGCUACUGCCACCAUGAUGGGGAAGUCACUGCUUCAUUCGCAGCCGCAUCAAGCAUCUGAUGCAGAGGACAACGAUAACGCGUCGACGACGCUUGGUCUCGCGCAGGCGGCGAGGACAGGCGGCGGGCGACCGAGGCCGGCGCCGCGCAGCAGCAUCAGCGUUGGCGGCAGCCUCAAGUAUUGUAGCUCCCCGGCAGCGGGGGCGACGGCAGCUGGUUCAGCGAGCGGUAGCCCCGCGUGCGACGCCGCGGCGGCGUCGACUACCACCGCCAGCGGUAAGGUAAACCCGUUUGCUGCGCCGUUGCCGCCUACAGAGCCGCAGCAUGGCCCUCGGUUGCGGGGUGUCGCGGGGCGCAACGGCGAGAUGGCGAUUGGCGCCUUCCUCGGCGGUGGCGCCUGCGGCAAGGUGUACGAGUGCUUGAACACAGAGACUGGGCAGGUGCUGGCAGCAAAGCAGAUCGUCUUCGACGCGAAGGAUCGGAAGCUGCGAACGCGGUUGAAGCAGCUAGAGCUGGAGCUGGAGGUACUGACGCUUGCGGCGCGUCAUCACGUGCGGUGGAUUGUGGGCUUCUUCGGUGCGGAGAAGCGUGGCCACUCGGUUCUCAUGUACCUCGAGUACUGCCAGCACGGGUCCUUGCUGGACUACAUGAUGGAAGGCAACAGCACCGAUGCUGCUGUGUGGAACACUAGCAGUGCCCUGGAUGAUGCUACCCCGAAACCGUCGACUGCCCCUGCCGACCGUAGCGCGGGCUGCCACUUCGACGCAAAUGGCAGCCCACCAGUCGCUGCGGUGGCGGCGUGGCGACGGCACACCGAGAGCGUAAACGAAGACGCUAGCUGCCUGAGCGCGCGCUCCCCACUUCGGGGUCUGCGCGAGGUGCGCGAGAGCCACACCGAGGCCGCUGCCGCCCCCAAAACGAAUUCGCCAAAGCAGCAGCGGCAGCAGCAGCAGGUCGCAGAUGGCGGCUCCGCUGCGGCGGGGCAUGCUCAGAGGGCGGAGGCAGAGGAGGCCGCAGCCACAGGCCACGCCUCUCCGCAAGUCCGCACGCACCGAGAGGAGAGCGCCGAGGGUGAGGAGUACCCUGAGCGCCGCGAAGGGGACUGCCUCUCUACCGCCGCCGCUUCCGUCUCCUCGGCAGCCAGCUCCGUUGCCUUAUCCAGCUCGGCGUUGGACAUGAUGCCGCUGAGCGAGGCGCUACACCCGCAGAUGCCGUCCUUGUCUAUUGAGCAGGCACAGUGCUUCACGAAACAAAUCGUCGAGGGCCUUUGCUUCCUGCAUCAGCACAACUACGCCCACCUCGAUGUGAAGACGGCGAACGUGCUCGUCGCGGCCGACGACGAGUGCCGCUUGGCGGACCUCGGGUGCGCUAUGCGCCUCCAGCCACCGCCACCGGCGUCGCCGCCGCCGCCGCAACAGGGACUGGCAGGGAUGGAUAAGGCGGUGAGGGGAGGCGCCAACGGCGACCUCGACGACGCCUUUUCGCCACCCCCCUAUCCAGUGUUGGUUGACCGAGACGCCAUCACUGAACUUCGCGGCACGGCCCUUUACAUGGCGCCAGAGAUGAUCCGCUUCGAGAGCCAUGCCAUCGGCAGUCCCGCCGACGUGUGGUCGCUGGGGUGCGUCGUGAUGGAGAUGACGACCGGCUGCGCCCCGUGGCGGCACAUUGCGAAGGACAAGCUGCGAGUGUUGUACCGGAUCGGCUCGGCACGCGAUGAGCUGCCGUUGCCGCCGCUCAUACGCGCGUGGGCGGAGGAGGCCAGAGAGUGGCUGGUGCGGGAAGGCUUGUCGGCAACGGUUGAUGCUGAGAAGCAGCAGGAUGAUGUGGCAGCGUGCGCUAUGGAGGCGGGCGGCGUUGCUCAAGCACCUCGCAGCCGCUCAGCGUCGAAAAAGGACCGUGAAGUCAGCGGCGUUGACCGCGACAGCGGUGUCGUCGGUGGCGACCUUGACAACGCGGUUUCGGACACGCUUGAUGAGCCCUGCUCACAGCGCCGGCGCGUUGAUCACGGCACUUACGGUUGCGAAGCCACUGCCACGCCGCGCUCCUCGUCGGCCUUGACCGCGAAGAUGCCGGCUUCGGUGCGUACCCCUGCCACUAGCACUCGCGGCGGCACGACAUCCUCGUCUUUCGCGCGUGCCGCCUCUGCGAUGACCGCGGGACUGCAGCUCGGCGAAUCGAACCCCCUCGACGAAGAGCGCUUCUUCCGCGAACAACGCCACGUCAUGCGUCUCUACGUGGCGCUGCAAGACUUCGUUACCGCGUGUGUGAGGGUGCGACCAGAGGACCGCAGCAGCACGGCGGAGCUGCUCCGCCAUCCCUUCCUGACUCUCUGCAAGGAUGAUAUCUAGGAGGGACUGCAACGGGUGUCGUCACGCAGCGGAUGUGGGGGCGUGGCGCGUCUGGCCCUUUUCUUUCGGCGUGUUGUCCCCAUGCUGCGUGCAUUGAGGCGCGGACGCUGUUUCGCUCUCUGUUUCCUCAGCCUCUUUACCGUGGUGACGGUGGUGGCUAGCAGGAAGGGCGACUGCACCGAUGCUGCCUUCUUGAUGCCCUCUCAAGCGGCCGAUGCACAUAUUCAUUGCCGCCGUCCCAUCCCCUUCCUCGCCUGGCGGGCCGAUGUGUGCGUGCGUGCGUGAGGGGUCUUUCUCUCCCGCGUGACCGCUCUUGGCCACUCCUCGUGCUCCUGUGCCUGCCCGCUUCUCUUUCCCUCUCAGGCCCCCCUCCCCGCUCUCUCACCGACUACCGCCAGGGCUUCGAUAGCGUUGUCUGAUGAUGCAUGCUGUGCAACGCACGUGUCUCCCCUUCCAUGUGUGUGCGUGUGUGUCGCGCUCACUGGUCCGCGGCGCGUGUGUGCAUGGCGUCAUGUAAGCUGCCUUUGUUUGUCUGCGUAUAGGCUAGCAUGUGCCUGUGACGUGACCUCGAUCAUGCCGCUCUUCUCCCACGCCCGUCUUGCAGCACGCUGCCUUUUCCCUCGGUGUGUGCCCGUCUGCGUCUCGGUCGGUGAUGCGGUAUAUCAGUUGUGUACUACAACGUGAGCGAAAAGCACAAGGCGGAUGCCAUUGCACAGAAACCAACGCGUAACGCAGGGCAAUGAGGAGUCCGUCACACGCGUGCGCGGCAGUCCAGCGCCGUCUGCUCCGUCGUCGUCUCGACCUCCUCCUCUCUGUGCCCCACUUCCUCCCGCUUGACCGGAGCGCACGCCGAGUGUAGAGUGAGCGCCGCCGCCGCCGCCCCUUCACGCUAUGACGUGAUCGAAACUGCGCCAUCUCCGCCAGCGUGCGGCGCGUGUCUGCGUUUGUGUGAUG
rnacentral:misc_RNA from 1 species